AGUAUAACUUGAUAAAGUAUAACUUGAUCUAUAACCAUAUUGAUGGUAGGUGAGAAACAGCAGAUGGAAUAGAUCAAUAUUCGCCGCCUUUGACGGUACAACGGUUCGGCCAGCUAAAUAGAUAAUAAGGCUUGUUUCGUAGUCUAAUCAUGAACUAGUCCAGCCAUUUUUAUUAUAAUUUAACGAAUUACUUAUUUGUUUAAUUUUAUGCUAGUAUGGACAUAUGUGAUGAACAUGAAAAAAGUUAAUAAAUUUAAAGAUACGGUCAUCAAUUGUUUAUUGAGACAUUCCUCCUCCGACUUUAUUUUUGUUGCCAUAGAAAAUUGAACAAUUCAAAGAAAGAUCCAAAGCUGGGAGCUAGCCUUCAUGAAGAUGUUCGGAUACUUGGCCACAAUGAGAUUUAGCAACUUCAAGAUGACCUCUUCCUUCCGUCACAGAAAAGGUCAAUGUA
rnacentral:lncRNA from 1 species